UACGAAGGGAGCGAGCGUUGUUCGGAAUUACUGGGCGUAAAGGGCGUGUAGGCGGCUACGUAAGUCAGGGGUGAAAGCCCGGGGCUCAACCCCGGAAUUGCCUUUGAAACUAUGUAGCUAGAGAUCGAGAGAGGUAUGCGGAAUUCCCAGUGGAGAGGUGAAAUUCGUAGAUAUUGGGAAGAACACCAGUGGCGUAGGCGGCAUACUGGCUCGAUACUGACGCUGAGGCGCGAAAGCGUGGGGAGCAAACAGG
rnacentral:rRNA from 1 species